UACAGAGGGUGCAAGCGUUGUUCGGAAUUAUUGGGCGUAAAGGGCGCGUAGGCGGUUGGGCAAGUCACGUGUGAAAUCUCCACGCUCAACGUGGAGGCGCCACGUGAGACUGCCCUGACUCGAGUCCGGUAGGGGAGCGUGGAAUUCCCGGUGUAGCGGUGAAAUGCGCAGAGAUCGGGAGGAACACCCGUAGCGAAGGCGGCGCUCUGGGCCGGUACUGACGCUGAGGAGCGAAAGCGUGGGGAGCAAACAGG
rnacentral:rRNA from 1 species